GAUAUAUUACAGAAUAUGAGAAUGGAAAGAUAUUAUCUUUUGAAAUAAUUGUUCAUUAACAUAAGGUUCCAAAUUACAUAUAAAGAAGCGGUCAAAACUGAGUUUGCUAUAGCAUGAGCUUGAACAGGUAAUUGUGAAUUUGUUUCAAGCACAAGUUUGGACAGAGCAUUCUGUUUCCAAGCCCUCAUAGAAACCUCCAAUCACAUAUCACACAGUAGUAAAGGAGAGCUUCAAUUAUCAGAGUUGAGUUCUCUUCUCCUGGACAAUAGAAAAGCUGAGAUUAAGAUGAUAGUUUGUGUUGUAAGUAGUAAAGACCUAGAAGCUUUACCAUUUCCCUCAAUUGCUUUUGCAAUAUGUUCCCUGGAAAGCCCCAUUCCAAUGGGAGAACAAUGAAUCUAACUUUUCCCAUUCUUACAGGCUUUGUUUAUUUUCAAGCAUUUCUUUCCUUGUUGGGUUCACGGAGCUUUAGCUAUGGAUUUGUAAGAAAUAGCACAAUUAAGGCCAUUGACAAGUUUUAGCUGGACUGACACCACCAACUAAAUAGAAUACCAAUGAAAGAUUCAAGUUAUUUUUCCAUUCGGAAAUACAGAUGAAACCAAUACAAAUAGGAAAUGGACUCCACCCAGGAGCUGUCCCAUAGAACAAAAGCCUAAAAGACCUACCCAAAACACCGGAAAAAUUAACGAAUCACUGUAACAAAAUGCAAGAUCCCCACAACUGCAGUGAGUCAUCCAUUGAGUUGUAGCUUGAAGGCUUGGAUUUCGGCUUGGGACAGAAAUGGUGACCAAAGAAGCAAAGAAAGGAAAAAAGAUGAGACCUGUACUCAUUGGUUAACAAUGGCAAAGCUUGGUUGUACACUUCUUUGGCCCUCAAAAUGAAAAAUUAAGUCUUCAACUAAAUUGGAAAUAAUUAAAAAAAAUUCAAACAAAAUGGAAGAAGUCCCUUUGUGUUACCUCAAGUGGAACAAAUGAUGAGGAGGAAUAUUUUACAAUUGUAUGGCCUUCACAUCCCAGGUUGUGUCCUAGUUGCAACUGACUCGGACAACUCGAGUGAUA
rnacentral:lncRNA from 1 species